GGCGGACGGCUGAGUAACACGUAGGAACGUACCCCAAACUGAGGGAUAAGCACCGGAAACGGUGUCUAAUACCGCAUGUGGUCUUCGGACUAAAGCUCCGGCGGUUUGGGAACGGCCUGCGCAUGAUUAGCUUGUUGGUGAGGUAACGGCUCACCAAGGCGACGAUCAUUAGCUGGUCUGAGAGGAUGAUCAGCCAGACUGGGACUGAGAACGGCCCAGACUCCUACGGGAGGCAGCAGUAGGGAAUUUUCCACAAUGGGCGAAAGCCUGAUGGAGCAACGCCGCGUGCAGGAUGAAUGCCUUCGGGUUGUAAACUGCUUUUAUAUGUGACGAAUCUGACGGUAGCAUAUGAAUAAGGAUCGGCUAACUCCGUGCCAGCCGCCGCGG
rnacentral:rRNA from 1 species